UUUGUUUUGGUGUAAUUAAGCACGUAAAAUUUUGAUUUUUAAAGUAGUUUACUAAACAAAA
rnacentral:tRNA from 1 species